rnacentral:rRNA from 1 species
AAUAAACGCUGGCGGCGUGCAUAACACAUGCAAGUCGAACGAGAAAGCGGGGGCAACCCUGUGAGUACAGUGGCAGACGGGUGAGUAACACGUGAACAAUCUGCCCUCGAGUGGGGAAUAACCCCGCGAAAGCGGGGCUAAUACCGCAUAACAUCCCUGGUUCGCAUGAACUGGGGGAUCAAAGGCUUCGGUCGCUUGAGGAGGAAUUCGCGCCUGAUUAGCAGUUGGUGAGGUAACGGCCCACCAAGGCAACGAUCAGUAGCCGGCCUGAGAGGGCGUACGGCCACACUGGAACUGAGACACGGUCCGGACUCCUACGGGAGGCAGCAGUGGGGAAUCUUGCGCAAUGGGCGAAAGCCUGACGCAGCAACGCCGCGUGGAGGAUGAAGG